CAUUUCACAUCUGAUUGUGUGAAGAGUCUGAGUUUACCCCCCAGGAGCUCUUUACUGAGGGCUGAAUCAUAAGGAAGGACUCCUCCGUGUGCACCCUAGCUAGGGACCCAUGGCCAGCCAGCAUCCAGGUCAGGGAAGCAUGCAGAGCAGCCCUUCCCAGUCCCCGCCCCAAGGCUCCUGGGCUCCUUGGUCCAGAACUCACCUUCCCUGGAAAAGCUCCUCUAGCAGAGCCUGCCCUCCUCCUGGCGCUCUUCUCUCUGGUCCCAACCUCAUGGCCUUGCAUCUUCCCCACUGGAUCCGCAGGUGCCUGCCCGCCCACUCAGGAAGUCAGAUGGCCUCAUGCUUUGGAAACUGCCAAUCCUUGCUUUACACGUUCUCAUCUUUCCCUCCUUCCACCUAGGAGAUUCCCAGGGGCGAUGGCAGAACAUGCCAUCUUCCUCAUCUGUCCAUCUCCCCACCCCUGUACUGCCUGGUUCCAGCCUGGGCUCACCCAAGCUCAUGGUUCACCAGUGCGUGAUGAUCAGAUUCUCUUUCAUUUUUCCCUGAGACUCCGGACAGGUGAGAGGAGGCUGCUGUCUGACCUUCCAUUUUAGCUGUCUGGGGCAGCUGCCUGUCCCUCUGUUCAGCUUCAGUUUGGGUCUCUCCCAGGUGGAGUGGAAAGUGUGCAGCAGCAAGAGGCAGCAACUCUGACCUUCGCUAUCAGACCCACCACCAGUUAGCUCCGUGACCUCGGGGGUCAUCUGUGCCCCCUGGUCAGUUUGCUCAUCCAUUAGGGAACAGGACGAGAUCCCUCCUCCUCUUGUCUUCUGGGACAGCUGAGUGACACAAGCGCCUGCAAAGUGCUGAGCAAACUGUACGUUCCCUUCGGGGGGUCGAGGUUCCAGUGUCAUUUUACCCCUGGUUCUCUUGUCCAUAGAACGCUAAAUUACAAGUGGCUUCAGCCGCAAAGACAUGCCUUGUCUCACAUGGCAAGGGGCCUGGAGGGAAUUCCAAGACUCAGCAGCCUGACAACGUCCUGGCUUAGCUUCUGUACGAGGCUCUUGGCUUUCUUCUUACUCGAUGCCGCAGCUGCUUCCGGGCUCAACCUCUCACGCCAACGGGGCUGAAGCAAGAAGGACUCAGAAGUCCGCUCGCUCCCCUGCUGACCCGCCGUACCCGGUACCUUCGUGCACCGAGCCCACCGCCCAAGGGUGACGACCUGCUCCUCCCGCGAGCUAGAAGCUGAGUCUUUCUCUUCUUGCGCCGACUUUCUCAGAUGUUCCGGAAAACAUUUCAGGACCGCCUAGCCCUCAUGGCCAGAUGUGUACUGUGGAAUCCUGUCGGAAGGCCUUAUUUUUCCAGGAACAAUCCCCAGCGUUCACACGGCACCGAGCGUGUCGCUCUCCCUUGCUCAGACCCAUAUCCUCUAUCUUGAACCCCCGGGGGGCCCCAGGAGGCAGACGGGCCGGGCCGGCCUGGUAACCACCUGUGUGGGAUGAAUCACGAGGCUCCAGGAAAUCAAGGAGCUUGCCCAAGGCCAUGGGGCUCCCAGCCGCUGGGUCUGGAGCAGGGAUGCCUGGCUCGGGCCCUGACUGAGGGCCUUUUCCAUGGCACUGCGACUCCAAGGCAACUCACAACUGGCCUGUUUAGAUUCCAGACAAGCAGGAGUUCGCCAAGCUCACGAGCUGCAUACAGCGAGGUCCCUGUGUGUGCCAGGAAGAGAGCGUAGGAAUCGGGUCUGAUGGGAAGCCAGGCACAGGGCGGUCAGCAAGGGUUCUUAUGUGUUCCAUCCACACGGAGCUCCGUUGGUUUGAAAACGUCGCUCACAGAUGUUUCAUCUGAUGUCUCAGCAGCCCUGUGAGGUGGACAUGGCAGGGCAGAUGCCUGCUGCACGUGGGGAAACUGAGGAAACGUGGCCUCACUGGCUAGAAAGAAGCUGAGCUGGGAUCUUAGUCAAGAUUUCUAUUUCCCAGGCUGGAAUUCUCCCUGCUCAUAGAAGAACAGGGCUCUACUUUCUUGUCCCUCAAAUGUCCACCAGCUGAUCCUGACACAGUCUUAGUUAACUGGUGAAAAACUGAAAAUAAGACCUUUGUCAGGAAGUUCUGCAUCAAAAAUGAAACACAGGCAUGAAGAUGUAACAACUGACAACUUGGGGAGGGAUCCCAGCCCUAUGAUUUCUCAAUGACACCAGGAAGACAGCUGCUGUCAUCGCAAGGAUGGCCCAAUGUUCUCCCUUGCUCACAGUAAGUAAGCGCUAAGAACUUUACCACCAUCUCUAGAGCAAAUCUCACACCUAAAAAGGCAGAAGAGACUCCAAGGACAAGCAACAGAAACACUCUAGGGGAAAAUUCAGAGAUGAGCUUCAUGAUACAGUCAUGUUUUUUAGCAAAAAGCAAAACAAAACAAAAACAAAAAAAACAUUGUUCCAUUUCUUCCUUUGUAAAAUGGGUUUGAGCAUAACUAAUUUUUCUGAUAAUGAAAAGAGCCUGGCUCUUUUCUGGUGGUUAGCUAACCCUUCUCGCUUCCAAUUGUGUGUCAUUUAUAUGU